rnacentral:rRNA from 1 species
UACGAAGGGUGCAAGCGUUAAUCGGAAUUACUGGGCGUAAAGCGCGCGUAGGUGGUUCAGCAAGUUGGAUGUGAAAGCCCCGGGCUCAACCUGGGAACUGCAUCCAAAACUACUGAGCUAGAGUACGGUAGAGGGUGGUGGAAUUUCCUGUGUAGCGGUGAAAUGCGUAGAUAUAGGAAGGAACACCAGUGGCGAAGGCGACCACCUGGACUGAUACUGACACUGAGGUGCGAAAGCGUGGGGAGCAAAC